GUAGCAGACAUCAUCUGUUUGCCCUGGAGGUGAACUGGACUAGAACAUUGAAGAGACUUGCUCGAGAACUGAGAAGCCUGUUUCUCUGGCUAGUGGACAGAAUCUUAUCUUCCACGUGGAGCAGAUGGACAAAGCCUUGGAUUAGAGGCUUAUAUUCCAGAAUUACUGACCUGCUGGUAAGGGUGUUGGGGGCAUGGCACGCUGACAUUUGGGUCUGGGAGUUCAAGCUGCUUUCCUGUGUGGAGACUGAGUGACUUCUCAUCUUGCACAAAGCAGGGAGUUCCCUAUCCUGCUGGACACAUAAUGAGGGACCAGGGAAAGUUUAUUGCAUAUGAAAAAGUACAGCACCCAGGCCUUCAGAGAACUCACCAGAACUUUCAGGAAAUGUUUGGGUUGCAGUUCUAGGCUGAGUUCUGGGACCGGGAAUUAAAAUCAUCAAGAGAGCCAAAGGCCUGCUCUCAUAAAGUUUACAUGCCAAAGAGGGGAGACAGCCAGCAAAGAAGUCUCAAGAUCAUUGACCUCUAUCCAGGAACCAGCUCUUGGCUUAAUGCGCAUCACCAGCCCCUGGGAAGAUUGCAGAAGUGGAAGGAAGGGCCAUGGAGUUCAAGAAGGUCUCCAGGGCCCACUUGUCCGCACUUUUCUCUUGCACUGCUAUCUUCAGACAAGUGUGCUCCUUACCCACACCCCCAUGGUCCACUCUUGCCCAUCACUGCUGUCUUGUUUGCUCAAUCUUUCCAUUGUGCCCUCCAGAAUCGCAGUGUUGUGUCAAGUACACUCCACUGAAAACCUCACCCCUCUGUGCCUGUCUCUGGACCUUACGUAGAACCUGUCUCCCUUGUUCUCGCCCUUGGGAGAGGUGAAGCCAUGGCCACCCUUCUGGAACUUCCAUCCACUCUUCCAGCUAUGUAAGCAAUUGACAUGCAAAGAAAGGGUUGUACGCUUCCUCACCCCCACCUCCAGGCAGGUUUCUCUGGAACCCCAGACAGACAGACAGACGGUAAUGUUUCUCUUCUCCAGACAGCAUCCUCAGCAGCCGCCGCUGACUCAGCCUCCUCACCCUCCCCAUGGGUGGGGCAGGCAGGCAGCCCAGCCCUUGGGUUUGAAGUUUGUCAGUGGCACCAAGGUGAAGUCGCAGACAUCAGCAGACAGGAGACCUUUGAUUUUGUCUCAAACCCUGGGACAUCUGCAACUCCCCUUUACCUAUCAGUCAACCCCACCUUCCUGCUCCAAACUCAAACAGCUGUCAGCUUCCUCCAGGAACUUAGGAUGCCAGGGCUUUGGAGGCAUAGCAGGCCACAGCUGAAAUGGCCUUUGCGACUGGCUAGCUUUUCCUUUGAGGAGAGAAAAAAGCUAUCUAUCGGCUCUAGGAAGAUUAUGACAUCCAAAGAGCUGAGCAGUUAGUUCACUUCCAGGGCAACUCACCUACUAGGUGCGGCAAGUAAGGCACUGUGGGCACAUCACCUUCAGGCUGAAGAGAAUGUCUUAUUUUAUAAUAGUAAUGUAUUUGCCUCUAUUCCAAUAUAGUUGUACAUACACACACUCACACUCACAUCCACAUACACAAAUACAUAUACAUAUA